CUACCAAAAGUUAGUUUUGGAGGGGGAAGGUUUUGUUAUAAUAACCUUCACCACCUUGGGCUGUUUGGGAGAGCAAAGAAAAGACCACACUCCACAGUGGGCUAUACCACUUAGUAUAGUUCAUUACUAUUUUGUGGCCUACAUU
ensembl:snoRNA SNORA4 small nucleolar RNA, H/ACA box 4